rnacentral:rRNA from 1 species
GACGAACGCUGGCGGCGUGCCUAAUACAUGCAAGUUGAGCGAUGAAGAUUGGUGCUUGCACCCAUUUGAAGAGCAGCGAACGGGUGAGUAACGCGUGGGGAAUCUGCCUUUGAGCGGGGGACAACAUUUGGAAACGAAUGCUAAUACCGCAUAACAACUUUAAACAUAAGUUUUAAGUUUGAAAGAUGCAAUUGCAUCACUCAAAGAUGAUCCCGCGUUGUAUUAGCUAGUUGGUGAGGUAAAGGCUCACCAAGGCGAUGAUACAUAGCCGACCUGAGAGGGUGAUCGGACACAUUGGGACUGAGACACGGCCCAAACUCCUACGGGAGGCAGCAGUAGGGAAUCUUCGGCAAUGGACGAAAGUCUGACCGAGCAACGCCGCGUGAGUGAAGAAGGUUUUCGGAUCGUAAAACUCUGUUGGAAGAGAAGAACGUGGGUGAGAGUGGAAAGCUCAUCAAGUGACGGUAACUAACCAGAAAGGGACGGCUAACUACGUG